GACGAACGCUGGCGGCGUGCCUAAUACAUGCAAGUCGAACGCUGGAGAUCUAGCUUGCUAGAUCGAAGGAGUGGCGAACGGGUGAGUAAUACAUAAGCAACCUACCCACGAAGACUGGGAUAAUCUCUGGAAACGGGGACUAAUACCGGAUAGGUAAUCGGAAGGCAUCUUCUGAUUAUUAAAGGUUAAAAACACUGGUGGAUGGGCUUAUGGCGCAUUAGUUAGUUGGUGAGGUAACGGCCCACCAAGACGAUGAUGCGUAGCCGGCCUGAGAGGGUGAACGGCCACAUUGGGACUGAGACACGGCCCAGACUCCUACGGGAGGCAGCAGUAGGGAAUUUUCGGCAAUGGGGGAAACCCUGACCGAGCAACGCCGCGUGAGUGAUGACGGCCUUCGGGUUGUAAAGCUCUGUUGUAAGGGAAGAACGGUAGAUAGAGAAUAUCUAAGUGACGGUACCUUACCAGAAAGCCACGGCUAACUACGUGCCAGCAGCCGCGGUAAUACGUAGGUGGCGAGCGUUAUCCGGAAUUAUUGGGCGUAAAGGGUGCGUAGGCGGCCUGUUAAGUAAGUGGUUAAAUUGUUGGGCUCAACCCAAUCCAGCCACUUAAACUGGCAGGCUAGAGUAUUGGAGAGGCAAGUGGAAUUCCAUGUGUAGCGGUAAAAUGCGUAGAUAUAUGGAGGAACACCAGUGGCGAAGGCGGCUUGCUAGCCAGAGACUGACGCUCAUGCACGAAAGCGUGGGGAGCAAAUAGG
rnacentral:rRNA from 1 species